AUUAUACUCCCUCCGUUCGGAAUUACUUGUCGCAAAAAUGGAUGUAUCUAGACGUAUUUUAGUUCUAGAUACAUCCAUUUCCGAGACAAGUAAUUUCGAACGGAGGAAGUAAGUU
rnacentral:pre_miRNA from 1 species